CCUUACUCAGCCAUGACAUGUGUUACACAGAUGGGAGAGCCAAGGCAAAAAUAGGCACAGCGCUUCUCCCGGCUCCUGCAGAACAGCAGCAAAAGCCGAGCGGGAUCCCCGAUGAACCCCGGUGUCCAGGAGCCUCCAUGGGCAAGGGGGCAGGCACCAGCCCAGCCUGGGAAAAAUCCAGCCCCAAGGCGAGACCGAUCCACGCUCUUUAGUGAGACCACCGGAGCAUUGCCCCGAAUCCGCGGCCCCGGCACCCGCUAGAUGGGAAAAGUCUGAUGAAUGAGCAAUCCUUAUGUGUCAGGGGAGAAGAGUGGCAGUCACAAUGUCAGGACCUCAGUGGCAGGAUGCACCUCAGCACAGCAGGUUUUGGGGAAAGAAGAGGACACGUGGAACAAUUACGAUGAGAAAGGAGCAAGCUGCAGAUGGAGAAGGUCUGCAGCUUUCCUUCCUGCUGAGUUACAAACUCACUCCUGCUUUAUUCCUCCACUUGGCACUUCCCUGCCUUGGCUCAGAGCACGUAGGCUUCAUCCUCUUGAUGAUCAGCUGAGGAGCAGAUGGAGGAUCAGAGGAGCAGGAUGGCUGCUUUAUGAGGUGUACCCAUGGCAGCAUUCGUGGAAACAACCAACAAGUGACCACGAGCCAGGAUUUCAAAUGCUGCAAUACCCGAAGUUGGAAUGUAGGGGAAGUCAUAGUCAAAGUCAUAGAACCCAGGGAUCCUGCAGUUUUAAAUUUUUCUCAGCUUUCGUUUAAAGCAAAGUGUCUAAUGUUCAUGUUCUCAAACAAAAGCUUGGAAAUGGGAAGCCUUGAACAUCAAAGAAAAUAAAAGAAUCCAAAACUGAUGAUUUUUUUUAUUU
rnacentral:lncRNA from 1 species